rnacentral:rRNA from 1 species
GGGACACGUGAAACCCUGUGGGAAGCAGGAGGGACCACCCUCCAAGGCUAAAUACUACCUAGUGACCGAUAGCGUAUAGUACCGUGAGGGAAAGGUGAAAAGAACCCCGGGAGGGGAGGGAAAUAGAACCUGAAACCCUGCACUUACAAGCUGUGGAAGCACAUUUCUUGUGUGACCGCGUACUUUUUGUAGAACGGGCCA